UUAACGUGAACUUCUCGUUACUAAUAUACUUAAACUUUAAAAUAAACUAAACAUUGUCCAUAAAAAUAUUAAACCUAAAAAUAAAACCUUACUUGCUAAUAUAAACACUACUUACUUAAACUAUAAACUAUAAAUAAUUAAAUACUAAAUAAAACUAAACAUAAUACUAACUUUCAAACAAAAUCCUAAUCCAUACGUCAUUUAAAUGUGCAUCGAAAUGUUACUGCGCUGUUCUCGCUAUUAAAAUCGUACGGGUUAUUUGGUGUUUUGUUUACCGCGUCUCAAAGUAAAAAACUGCCGUGAGGAUCGCACCGGCGGCGCCACGCAGACUAGCUUGGCGGCCGAGACGAGUGCGGUCGUCCCUACUGCAUUGAAUGCAAACCUAUUUCACGCUCGACUGAUUUCUCAAGUCGUUCAUAAGCGAUUUACUAUUUUCGCAUACUUCUAUUAGUGCUAGUAACACUUUACUACUGCAAGAUCAGUGUUAAUUAUAAUUAUUUCAACCCCUUGACCGGGGUUUUUAUGCCGGGCAUAAUAUUAAGGGCAGACUACACCACGCUCAAGCAAGGACGAAGCCAACUGAAGCUGUCAAACACCUACCUCAGGCCAGUGUUGGAACUACUUAACCGUCCCGGUGAUACCAAAUUACUUUUAAUAAGAAAGAACCUGACCCUGAGACUAUUUAAUUUUAGAUUUUUAUUAUUAAGAGAUAAUUGCAGAAGUUCAAUAAACUUAUUAUUUUGUU